CAACAACCUUAUUCUUAUAAAAUGUAUUUACUUAUAGACAGUGUCUUACAUAUCCCAAGUUGGCCUCCACAUUCAUAUGUAACUGAGAAUGACCUUGAACUCCUGAUCUCCUGAGUGCUGGGAUCAUGGGUUCGGGUACCGCAUUCAGUUUAUGCAGUGUGGGGUGUCAAACCCAGGCCUUUACUUCUUUUCUGAUUACAUUCACUUGUGCAUGUGUUUAUGUCCAUGCAUGUGCCAUGGGGCACUUAUGGAGGUUGGAAGACAACUUUAUUGUGGGAGCUGGUUCUCUCCUUCCACCAUAUAGGACCUGGGUAUUGAACUCAGGGGGUCAUGCCUAACCCUAACCCUCUGAGCCAUCUCACUGGCCCUGAACUGAAGCUUGAUAUGCAUGCUUGGAGAGCACUCUACCAGCGGAAAUUCUCCCAGCCUUGAGUAAAUUUGCUCUUUUAAGUGAAUUAUUGUUACCCAUGAAGACGAUGCUGGAGAAGAUAUCUUGCCAAAAGUAAACAGUCGUUAGUGUGCAUGAGAACCAGGGCUCUAUGUUACUUCAUCAAUCCACUGCUCUCCCUGGCAAAUGCUAUCUAUUCUUCUGAGAAAAGAAAAGGCAGUUGUCAUCAGCCCAGCCCUAUGUGCCAGGCUCUAUUUGUCAUCUCAGCCAGGAAUGGUGGCAUAUACCUUUGAUCCCAGCGCUCUGAGGCCAGGCUGGUCUACAUAAUCCUGGAAUCUGACUUCAGGAGAGAUGCUAAUAGACUCCCCAGAGUCACUGCCAAGGACUAUGCUGCCUAAGACUGAAUAGCCGCUCAGCCUCUGCUACCAGAGCAACCAGCACCCACAGCCGGGCAUAGAGACGGAGCUGCUCAGCUCAAGGCUACCAGUCUGCUGACCUUUACAGAGACAGGCUCUUCGGGAACACUCUCACUUUUGACUCUCACCAAAGGAUGCCCCUUUGCUUCCUGUAAAAACAAGAGGAUGGAAUAACUUGAUUUCAAAUAACACUGUAGGUCAUAGUAUUUAUACGUGUAGUGUGCCUGUUACCCCAGGGGGCUGCUGUGUACACAUGGAUGUGGAAAUUCUGUGUGGUGCCACCCUUAAGGGCUCAGAGUGGGCAGAGAUGGACUGAGUCUCAUUGGGCAGAGGUGGAAAUCAGUAUAUAUAUAUGUAAUCUACACACACACACACACACACACACACACACACACACACACACACACCCCAUGCAUGUACACACCCAACAACAAGUCCCAAUUUCAACAGAUGCAAAAAAAAAAAAAAAAAAAAAACGAACAAAAACAUCAACACACCCUUUUAGGAGAGAAACACUAAGGAUUAGAAAGUCACUUCCUGAACCAGGUUCCCUGAACGUGGCUUGGGCAGUCUCUGGGGUCACUGGUAGUGGAACCAGUGUUUAUCUCUAGUGCAUGAACUGGCUUUUUGGAGCCCACUCCCUAUGCAGGGAUACCUUGUUCAGUCUAGAUACAGGAAGAAGGGCCUCACCUCAGUCCUGCUCUAAAUGAUGUGACAGACUUUGAUGAUCCCCCAAGGGAAGCCUCACCCUCUCUGAGGAUGAGGGGUGGGAUGGGGAGAUGGGGGGGAGUGUGAGGAUGGGAGGGAGAGGGAAAUGGGAUUGGUAUGUUAAAUAUGAUUGUUUUAAAAAUAAAAAAAGAAAGGGGCUUCCCAAUCUAAGAUGUGUACCGGCCAUGCACAACGAACAUAGUUGACAGUGAAAGAUGAACAAAGACACCCAAGCUCAAAACUUCUGUUUGACACUGUUCUUUCUGCAG
rnacentral:lncRNA from 1 species